rnacentral:rRNA from 1 species
GACAGAGGUGCCAAGCGUUUAGGCGGAAUCACUGGGGCUUAAAGCGUGUGUAGGCGGAUGUCUAAGUACCUUGUGAAAUCCCACGGCUCAACCGUGGAACUGCUUGGUAUACUGGAUGUCUUGAGCCAGCUAGGGGCUACCGGAACAAAAUGGUGGAGCGGUGAAAAUGCGUAGAUAUCAUUUGGAACGCCAAUGGUGAAAAACAGGGUAGCUGGGGGCUGUGCUGACGCUGAGACACGAAAGCCAGGGGAGCAAACGGGG